rnacentral:misc_RNA from 1 species
GAUGAAGAACGCAGCGAAAUGCGAUAAUUGAUGUGAAUUGCAGAAUUCCGUGAAUCAUCGAGUCUUUGAACGCACAUUGCGCCUCAUGGCAUUCCAUGAGGCAUGCCCAUCUCAGCGUUAGAAAAUAUUCUCAAAUUUUAGUUUUGUGCUAAAAUUUGGAUCAUGUCAAGGAAGCUAUUACUAUUAUUGUGAUCGCUCUUUGGAAAUUGAUAGGUCUUUGAGUUGCUACUCAUAGAACGUGAUGAAUCUUUCUUCGUUCUAUUGUAAUUCACUCUGGUAGUCCUAAAACUUGUAUGCCUGUGGCAUAUCUUGUAAUUUGACCUGAGAUUGGGUAGGGAUACCCGCUGAACUUAAGCAUAUCAAUAAGCGGAGGA